rnacentral:lncRNA from 1 species
UACAUAAAAAUUUAUUAAAUCAACAAAUUAUUAUAGAAAGAUGAUGAUUUGUUAUUGGAUUAGAAAGAGUAUAUUUAAAUCAGAAAAUAAUAUUUUAUUUACAGGUAAUUCUUGAUUUAUGAGUUCUCUGAUUUAUUAAUUUUUUUUUCAAAUAUCAGGUAUCAACAAAAUUAAAAACAGGAAUAUUUAUUGCUAUAAAUAAAUGCUAAAUUCUCAUACAUAUACCAUUUCAAAUCAGGUGAAUAGAUAUAUAAUACAGCAGACAUUCUGUCAUGUCCCAAGAUAUCAGAAAAUGAAUAUAGUGACUUUGGGAAUUGUACCAAUACUCCUCCUGGACAUCAUGAUUUUAUCAGAUAAUUAUGUUUGUAACUUCAUUCCCAGAUUGUGUUUAAGGCAGAAGUACAUAUCAUAAAAGCUAAUCUACACAUGUUUUGAUGAUGA